UACGUAGGGUGCGAGCGUUAAUCGGAAUACUGGGCGUAAAGCGUGCGCAGGCGGUUCGUUGUGUCGGUGGUGAAAGCCCCGGGCUUAACCUGGGAAUGGCCAUGGAAACUGGCGAACUGGAGUGUGGCAGAGGGGGGGGUGGAAUUCCGCGUGUAGCAGUGAAAUGCGUAGAGAUGCGGAGGAACACCGAUGGCGAAGGCAAUCCCCUGGGCCUGCACUGACGCUCAUGCACGAAAGCGUAGGGA
rnacentral:rRNA from 1 species